rnacentral:lncRNA from 1 species
UUUGUGUUAUUUUGUAGGUUAAUUUUGUAAGUAAUUUCCCUAAUUUUUGUUUCAAGUUUAAAUGUGUUCUUAAUGUAAAUAAGAAAAUAAUAAAGAAACAAUUAUACUAAUACUUAUGUUCUAAGGAUUCAUAUUGAUUGGAUAUAUGUAAAUAUUUGGUUCUGUUUCUUUCCAACAAAAAUGACUGUUUUCUCUUGUUGACCCUAAAGUAUCAGUUUUCCUGUGUAAGAAAGUCUUGGAGACUUUAAAACUGCGGAUAGUAUUGCAUUUGUGCAAGGUAAUGUGUUAGAGGAUGAUGUCCAUGAAGUUAUCAAUAAAUCUUUUGAAGUUCUUUGAGAGUUAAUUAAGUGGAAUUUCAGAAUUGGCAAAAAUGCGCUACAAUGUGGCGCCAUGUAUGCUUUACCAGAACAGAAAUCUACAGAUUGUGCACUAUAUGAAAAUGCGCAAAGCUAUAUAUUUAUGUAAACAAAGCACACGAGAAAUAUUUUUGUGGAAGAGUGCAAGUUUAUAUGGUGAUUAUUACGUUUUUUAUUUGUUGUUUUCGCAUUGUUUUGUUGUAUUUUGUUGAUUUUUUUUUGUUUUGUUUCUGAAUAGUUAUCAUAACUAUUAAGUGUAAGCAUUCACUCCGAGAGAAUAUCAAGUGAAUUCUUAAAGAGAUUUUUGCAUAAAAUUUAGCGAUAAUGCAUAUCUUUGAAAUAUAUAUGCUAAGUUCGCAGGAAAAAAAUUAGAGUUGAGUUAGAAGAUUUUUUCUUCUUUCUUAUAAUUGCGUAUUGAAGAACAAAAAUACUUUGAAAUCAAAGUAAAUUGUAUCAGUACAUUUUAAACUCUAAACAUUUAUACAAGUUAUUUUGUGAUUAAUUGUUUGGGUUGUGUUUGUGGGAGAAAAAAAAAAAAAAAAAUUUAAAGUACCUUUAUUUAACCUUUGAUUUAUGUACUUAAAUAGUUAUGAUGAUCUCAUAGCAUAUAGCGCAUAAAUUAUGUUCUUAAAUUAUAUCUGUAAGAUUUUAAUUUGGAAUGCUAUUUUAAACAAAAACAAUAUUUGGCGCCAAAGGCCAAGUCAGAAUAUUCAAACAUGCACUAAUGAAAUAUAGGGCGGGAGUGAGGGGUAAAACAAAUAACCACAGGAAACAACAAAGAAAAUACUUAAUAUACAAGAAACGGAACUACGGAUAAAUUUGCAGGUAAUCAAUCAUAUGAAUUCUUGAUCGGAAAAUGCGUUUCUAGUUACAGUUUUAUUGUUUAGUUUACUAAUAAAUAUGUAAUAAAAUAACUCUUCAUUUCGGU